CAUGCAUCGACUAGAUUCAUUUUCCCAUCUGAAAAGAUUCUGAAGUUGAAGAUUGCAACAUUUUUUCAACUACUUAUCGUGUACGCAGACACAAAAAAAAUAAAAACCACACUUCAUUGUAAAAUCAAUAAAAUCAAAUCAAUCGCUCCGCUAAAAAUAUAAAAGGGUUUUUUAGUUUGCUUACAUUUAUAUUUCCCAGUCCGAAAGAUAGGUAUCACUUGUGGUAUUUUAUAUUAAAUUUAUAAUUCUAUUUACAACCAAGGAAACAAAAUCAAAUUCAACCAACUUGAUAUUUAAGUAUACGGACCUUUUUUUUUUUACAACAUUCCACGUGUCAAAUAAUUCUGAAAGAACGUAAACGGCUACACACUACCCAGGGCUCCGGAUCUAAGAAUUUAUAAGCGGGAUUACUAAUAAACCAGAAUUACCAGAACCAAAUUAAGAAGAAAUAACACGGAUAAUUAAAUCUUUAAAAAACAAGUCACCGAGGGAGGGCAAUAUCAAUGCUGAAUUAAUUAAAACAUCUACCUCAAAAUUAAUAUCACAGAUAUGGCUUUUGAUCCAAGAAGUAUAGAAAAGUGGAAAAGUUCCGAGCGAUUAACAAAUAGCAAUCAUAUGCCCGAUUUAUAAAAAAGAUGACCCUAUGGAAACAGCUAACUAUAGAGGAAUUUCACUUUAAGACACCUGUUAUAAAGUUUUAUCGAUGGCAAUCCUGCGAAGGCUGAAAGUCGAUGCUAACAGUAUAAUUGGAGACUACCAAAGCAGCUUUAUGAGAAGGAAAUCUACCACAUACCCUAUUUUUAUCAUCAGACAAUUGUUGAAAAAGCGCUAUUAGUAUGGUAGAGAAGUGCAUCUUUGUUGUGUGGACUUUAAACAGGUCUACGACAGUAUUAUAAGAGAUAAAUUAUGGGCAGCACAGAAAGAAUUUGGUAUACCAACUAAAUGAAUCCAGCUGAUAAAAGAGUGCAGUGACGAAACAUACUCUAAAGUAAAAGUAGCGAAUAAACUUUCAAAAAGUUUCGACGUUAGAGCUGGCCUAAGACAGGGAAAUGCGCUUUCCCCUGUAUUUUUCAAUCUUGACGUUAAAAAAAUUAUUAUAUCUCUCCCCGUUAGACAAAGUAUGGAAAUUCUGGAACAGAACACUAUCUUAGCAUACACAGAUGAUAUUUUUAUAAUUGGUAGCUCCCGAAUCGAAGUGGAUAUGAGGACCACAGACCUAAUAAAAGCAACAGAACCGAUUGGAUUGAAUUUUAAUCAAGAAAAGACCAAAUAUCUAAUAGUAUCAAAAAAGGCGAUAAUUCAAGAUGACUUGCAAGUGGAUGGAUUGGUCUUCCAACAAGUAACAGAUGUUAGUUACUUAGGAACUAACUUAAACAUUUAAAACAAUAUGUACAAUGAGAUAAAAUUGAGAAUUGUGUCAGGGAACAAGGGAUAUUAUGCACUUUCAAAAUUGUUAAAAUCAAAACUACUAUCCAGAAGGUCAAAAGAGAACCUAUACUCCAGCUUUCUACGACCGGUUUGACGUAUGGUUGUGAAACCUGGGCGGUGACUAAGGGAGAUGAGGAGAAAAUGAAUAUUUUUGAAAGAAAAAUACUACGCUGAAUUUAUGGUCCUGUAAUGGAGAGUAGAGAAUAUAGAAAGAGAACUAACCAAGAAAUGUACCAAAUUUUUAAUUAACCCAUUAUUAUUACGUAUAUAAAAAGCAACAGGUUAGAAUGGGCGAGUUAUGUCUGGAGGUCGGAAGGUAUGGGAAAAAAAUUGUUUACUGGAAGACUGAGCGGAAAAAGGCCCAGGGGGCGACCGAAUCAAAGAUGGACGGACAGAGUGAAGACGGAUCUCACGGAAAUCUCAGUAGAAGCAAGAAUUGAAGACAGUGAUAGGUGGAGAGCAGUGGUUAGGUUAAGGAAGGUCCGAAAUAGACUGUGAAAGCUGGAAAGAAGAAGACAAUAUAGUACAUAAAAUAACAGAUUGUUUGGUUUAAUAUGGCCAAUGGAAAGUCAGGCUAACAAUUUUAAUAGAAAAAUGGUCCGCAGUAUUAUUAAGGUGUAAACUGUAAGUUGUAAAUCAUUUUAAAUAUUUAUCAUAAACAUAAUAUUAUAAUAUGAAAACUAGCUUUUCUUGGUUUUUACUUGUAUGUAUCUUAUACAAUAUGAAAAUCUCGUUUCACAAUGGAAAAUGUUUGUUACCUUAACUCCUCCGGAACGGCUGGACCGAUUUUUAUGACAUUUUGAGUGCAUGUUAGGUUAGGUCUCAGAGAGUGAUGUACACUAUUUUUCAUACCCCUAUAUGAUGUUAAGAGUGGCUCACAUAAAAUAUUUUUUAAUAUUUAACAUACAAAUUGCAUAACAAUAACAAUAAUCACCGAGCGUACAACAGCAAUAUGGUUAUCGAAUAUUAGUAUCAAUAUAACUUUUAAACGAUAAAAUACAUGCAAUUCACAUACAAAAAGAGUGUAUUGCAAUAAUAUUUGGCGUUCCAGUAAGUUUUGAUGGAAUAUUUUUGUUUUUAAAAAUAUCCGCAAUUAGACAUACAAACUUAAGUCGCGAAACUCGCAAUACUACCAGUCAAAGAUAUACACUAUCAACUAUCAAGUAAAACACAUCAUUUGACGGAUGAAAAGGUCAGGUUGUAGGUUCCUGGAAACCCGCGGGCUGCCGUGCCAAAAAAUAUGCGUAUAAACCUGUACAAUAUGUAUAUAUAUUAUAUAAUAUAUUAAUAUAUACAUACGUUAUGUAUAACGUUUAUUCUAAUUAAUAACUCAUUUUCUUAAUUUUUUAGUGGAAAUUAGUAUUUUUUUUUUUUUUUCGGUUAAUCGGGCAGAACAGGUUUAAGCAUGCAUCAUAUUGCCUACCAAGGAGGCUGAAUUGCACUUAUAACUGCUCAUCGGACUGUCCACGAUUAAAAUAAAAAUAAAACGUAUUAUUCAAAUAAUCAUAUAGAUAGUGGUAGUAAACUAAUAUAGUAUGCACCUGAUUAUAUACUGCUCGCAUUAUCACCAUCAAGUCUCUUAAAUAGAGAUGGCAUUUUUAAAGGUCAACAAAGUGCAGGGGAUAAGCUAAUAUUUUUAUAAAAAUAUAAUAGACUUAUGGAUUUUCCAAUCAAUAUGUAGCUAUGGAUUACAAGCGAGACACUAUAUUUAUUAUAUAAGAAUCUAACUUGAUUUUGGAGACGAAGGAAACC